GACGGAGGAUGGCAAGUGUUAUCCGGAAUCACUGGGCGUAAAGCGUCUGUAGGUGGUCAAAUAAGUCAACUGUUAAAUCUUGAGGCUCAACCUCAAAAUCGCAGUCGAAACUAUUAGACUAGAGUAUAGUAGGGGUAAAGGGAAUUUCCAGUGGAGCGGUGAAAUGCGUAGAGAUUGGAAAGAACACCGAUGGCGAAGGCACUUUACUGGGCUAUUACUAACACUCAGAGACGAAAGCUAGGGUAGCAAAUGGG
rnacentral:rRNA from 1 species